UUUUUUUUUUUUUUUAGUAAAGUGUUUAUUGACUACCUGUCCUCCUCACGAGAAUAUAAGUUCAGUGAAGACAAAGACCAUGUAUGUCUGUUCCCUCAACAAAACUUAACCAAUGGAAGGAUAAAUGGUGGGUUGCAUGAACACAUUGCACAGGAGUGGGACCACCAUAGGGACUCAGUAAAUAGGAGUUAUUGUUACUAAUUUGGAGGCACUGAGAGUGGCCCACAGGGGCUGGAUUUCUCAGAAUGGGUGGGGCUACAGAGAAGAACCCAGAGAACUCCCUGGCCUGAGGAGGACCUUGGGCUCCACCCACAGCCAGCCCUUUCCCCAGUGUCCUCAGGCGCUUGGUCCCGGGCAGGUAGGGGAUUUGGAAUGUCCUGAGGCAGGACACCUGUCACCCACACCUGGAUGGGUGCCCAGCAAUGGGGUCAAUAAGAGGCUCUUCGUCCCCACAGGGAACCCAAGCAUCAGAAGGGACUGGUCACCAGGACCGCAUUUGUGAUUGACCCCUCACCACCACCACCACUGGCCAGGUAGGGAAUCAGGCCAGGCCCAGUUAGAGGAACCAGAGAACAUGGUCAUGAAUCUAUCACCCUGAGAUCGGAGGAUGGGCUCAGAGUUCUAGAGGAAAGAACAAAUCUGUGCAGAAGGCCCAGGUCCAUCACUUUAACUGUGUGACUUCAGGCAAAUCACUUAACCUCUCUGAGCCUCAGUCUCCCCCAUCUGUCAGGUAGAAAUAAUAAUAUCCAUCUUAAGAUGCUGAUAGAAGGAUUGUUAAGAAUAAUAUUAGCUAACACUUACUUUGCUCUGUGCCAGCGGUGUCACAUUAUCUCCUUUGAUCCUCAAAACGUCCCUAAUGUUAGACAUCUGUAUUCCUACUUUACAGAGGAAGAAACUGAGGUUCAGAGAGGGUACUGGCCAGCCCCAAACCACACAGCUAGGAUGAAUCAGGGCAGAGCUGGUUCAAGUGUGCUGGUUGUAAAGCCCUGCGUUCACCACCACCCACAGAAGGCACUUGAGCACCUGGCCAGGCACAAACAAAUUCCCAGUCAAGGUGAACUUUCUGCUUCCCUGAGCUUCAGGUCUGGGGGCAGAUGAGCCCCACUACAGGGGCUGAAGGGAAAGGGAGCCAGAUGGCCCUUACCUGGCCAGGUUGAGGCUGCAGCAACAGCCCCCACCCUGGUCCCGCCAAGCACUAGCAGCCUGGGCUGGCUUUGAGCUUCCAGCAGGUUGCAAGGAGCUCCUUCCCCAACACCUCGUCUCCCCAGGAAUCAGGCUGGGCUCACCCCCCCACCCCCCAACCCACCCCCGCACAGAGGAAGUUCAGCUAGGUCAGGCCUGCCCCUUUCCCACAGCCCCGAAAUGACCCUCCUCAGCUUUGCCCCUCACCUCGGGGCUGAGAAUCUCCCAAGGUCCCCCGCCCAGGGCCUGCGGGCUUAUGCUGCCAUUGGUCUCGCGCCUUCUAUAGGGGACAACCUAAUUCACGUGUGACCCACACCAAUAAAUCAGGGAGGGGGAGGGGGGUGGGGACAUUCAUAAAUCCAUAUCAAACAGUCCCCAAAUUAUGACAGAUGACAUGGCAGUCAUAAAAUUGCACAAGCAAAACUCACCAAGUCAUUAAUUUCAUGGCCGUAGAAAAUAAACAGACACAUUUUUUCGCGGCCCUAAUAAAUUUUUAAAAACUCAAAGAAUGGUCCAUCUGCUUCGAAUAAUUUUUAAUUUCCUAUUCUGUCUCAUUCCCAUUAGCUAUUCCACUGAGAUAUUUGCUAAAUUCUUUCAUUUACCUCCUCCCAUCUGUAUUCAAUUACCCUAUUCCCAAAUAGAGUGAGUUUUUGUUUCUCCUAAGCGCGGGACAAAAUACCCCCGCCUGUACCUUAAAGCAAAUGUUAUGUGUGUUUUAUUAUCUGUUAGACCGUAUGAGUCAUUCUAACUCGAUUGCCUGUGUGGAAAGGUUUGGAGAGCAAUCUGAUUUUGAUGUUUUUUGGCUUGGGUGGAAAACACCUGCCCGAUUCUCAAAGCUAAUCUAUUAACGUGGUAAAUGCUGUAGCAGAUGUUCCUGAGUGAGCGAGGGGCCGCGCUGGGCUGUGACCAGGCCCCGAGUGUCGGGCACACAGUGGAAAUGCUCCGAGAUCAGAGGCCAGAAACGUCACUGGGGGCCCGAGCUGUCACAGAGUCACCUUUCCUGGCUGCCCGUGGGCUCUGGCCCUCCAGCCACUCCUCGUGGCCUCCCCGGGCCCUCAGCAGCCACUCAAGAUAGGACAUUUCAAGGUCAGCUGGCUCGCUCCCCCCGCCCUCCUGUUUUUUACAUAAGGGACACUGAGGUCCAGAGAAGAGAGGCACCAAACCACACAGAAUCCUGAAAAAGGACAACAUCCCUUUAGGCUGACCCUAAUAUUCCGCAGACCCUGCAAGUGAGCUGAGACUCAUUUCGUGGAGCUGAGAUACCGACGGGAGGAGGAUUCUGGGAGCACACCUACACCCUCCCACCCUGGGCCUUCCACCCAGGAAAACAAGAUCACUGUGGGCCUUUUCAGUCUAAAACUUUUCUAUUCCAUCUUUCCUCAUCCUGCAGGAGUUGGGCCAGGCCUGCAGGAAGUGGGGUGAGGGGCCAAGAGCAAGGCUUUGGCCUUGGAUGGGUUGGUCUCAACCCUGUGUGCACAUGGGAACUGCAGAGCCCAGGAACAUGGAUUUCCAGGCCAAGCUGCAGAUCUGGCGAGGAAUCGGUGUCUCCAAAGAUGCACAUUGGAGGAUCUAUGUAGCUGCACUGUGGGUGCCCACACCCCAUCACCCCACAUUCAAUCCAUGCGUGUUUGUGACUGCCUACUACGGGUAUGGGCAACACUGCCUGAGAGCUUGCUCUGGCCUGGAAUCAUGUUCAGUAGACUCUCAAGACAGCCCACAGGUGCCAGGAACCAGACACCCCCAAGAAUAUCCCUAAAGUGAUGAUGAAUGGGAGUUGGUGUGCAAGUAUCCCAGUUCCGUCCCCUCUUGAAGGUGACAAUUCUGAGAUGUGUUCUAUACCUGUGGUUCUCAACCAGGUAUGAUCUUGCCCCUGGGGGACACUGGCAAUGUCUGGAGAUAUCUUGUUGAAUGGUUGCUACCUGCGUCUAGUUGGUAGAGGCCAGGAGGCUGCUAAACAUCCUACAAUGCAUGGGACAGCGCCACCCCCCCCAACCUCCAACCAAUAAUUAUCCAGCCCAAAAUAUCGGUAGUGUGGAGGUUGAGAAACCCUAGUCUAUAUCCUCUCCCAGAGGUUCCCAAUGGAACUAAGCCUCAGAUGCUCACAUCAAUAACCUGCUCACUUAGGCCCAUUCUCCCGGCUUCUUUCUCCUCCUUGGCCCACUUCCCCCGCUGUCCUAUCAGCACUUCCCAGAACCACCUCUCACAUAACCACUUUCACUCAAAUCUUCAUCUCAAGGUCUGCUUCUUGGGGACCCAACCUAAGAUUAUCCAUUACUACAGUCAUAGCAACAACCUUGGAAGAUUCUCAAAGAUCUGGGUUCCAUUUCAGCCAUCUAUACUCUUACCAUAUAUAUUCAGUUCCAGUGACACACUGAUGUGGUCACCUAAGGAUACACGUAUGAGGGCACACCAGAUCAUCCUGGCCAGGAGGCCUUUUGGUCCUAUUCCAGUGGACCAGCUGAUUGGAGCUGUGUUAACCCCGAAAAGUGACAUUAGACUUGAGUACCAAUUCAAUAUAAUCACCUACCAGAAUCUCAGCUGACUUUUUUAUAGAAAUGGAUGAGGGGCAUCUGGGUGGCUCACUUGGUUAGGCGCCAGACUCUUGAUUUCAGCUCAGGUCUGCACUCAGUGGGGAGUCUGCUUCAGAUUUUCUCUCUCUCCCUCUCCCUUUUCCCCUCCCCAGCUUUUUUUUUUUUUUUUUUUUUUUAUGAUAGUCACACACAGAGAGAGAGAGAGAGAGGCAGAGACAUAGGCUGAGGGAGAAGCAGGCUCCAUGCACCGGGAGCCCGACGUGGGAUUCGAUCCCGGGUCUCCAGGAUUGUGCCCUGGGCCAAAGGCAGG
rnacentral:lncRNA from 1 species